GAUGAACGCUGGCGGCGUGCUUAACACAUGCAAGUCGAACGGUGAACACGGAGCUUGCUCUGUGGGAUCAGUGGCGAACGGGUGUGUAACACGUGAGCAACCUGCCCCUGACUCUGGGAUAGGCGCUGGAAACGGCGGCUAAUACUGGAUAUGUGACGUGACCGCAUGGUCUGCGUUUGGAAAGAUUGUUCGGUUGGGGAUGGUCUCGCGGCCUCUCAGCUCGUUGGUGAGGUAAUGGCUCACCAAGGCGUCGACGGGUAGCCGGCCUGAGAGGGUGACCGGCCACACUGGGACUGAGACAGGGCCCAGACUCCUACGGGAGGCAGCGGUGGAGAGUAUUGCACAAUGGGCGCAAGCCUGAUGCAGCGACGCCGCGUGGGGAAUGACGGCCUUCGGGUUGUAAACCUCUUUUAGCAGGGAAGAAGCGAAAGUGACGGUACCUGCAGAAAAAGCGCCGGCUAACUACGUG
rnacentral:rRNA from 1 species